rnacentral:ncRNA from 2 species
AGGGUGGCUUCGCUGCCUGGUGCCCGCCGCGUGUGGGAGAAUCGGGAACACGGUUGAAUUCCGUGGCGUGCCCAACGCUGUAAGGGGGACCGCGCCGGCAAACGCCACUGUCACCGACGGGAAGGCGCCGGACGCGGGACGAUCCCGAGCCAGAAGACCGGCCUGGCAGAUAUGGUCAUC